GGGGACAUGGCGGAAUGGUAGACGCGCCGGACUUAAAAUCCGUUGGAGCAAUCCGUGUGGGUUCGAGUCCCACUGUCCCUA
rnacentral:tRNA from 1 species